AACGUAGGAGACAAACGUUAUCCGGAGUUACUGGGCGUAAAGGGCGUGUAGGUGGUUUCGUAAGUCUGGCGUGAAAUUUUUCGGCUUAACCGGGAAAGGUCGUCGGAUACUGCAGAACUAGAGGACGGUAGAGGCGUGUGGAAUUCCGGGUGUAGUGGUGAAAUGCGUAGAGAUCCGGAGGAACACCAGUGGCGAAGGCGGCUUGCUGGGCCGGACCUGACGCUGAGACGCGAAGGCGUGGGGAGCGAACGGG
rnacentral:rRNA from 1 species